rnacentral:misc_RNA from 1 species
AAGUCGUAACAAGGUUUCCGUAGGUGAACCUGCGGAAGGAUCAUUAUCGAGUUUUGACUGGGUUGUAGCUGGCCUCCCGAGGCAUGUGCACGUCCUGCUCAUCCACUCUACACCUGUGCACUUACUGUGGGCUUCAGACGUCGUGAAGCGGGCUCUUUACGGAGCUUGUAGAGCGUGUCUGUGCCUGCGUUUACCACAAACUCUAUAAAGUAUUAGAAUGUGUAUUGCGAUGUAACGCAUCUAUGUACAACUUUCAGCAACGGAUCUCUUGGCUCUC